rnacentral:lncRNA from 1 species
GUGCGUCUGAAGUCAGCUACAGUGUACUUAUUUAUAAUAAUAAAUAAAGAAGUUCCCUAAUGGUUACAGUGAAUAAAGUGUUAAUUUGUUGAUUGGUAGCUCUGCUGCAUAAUUCUAGAUACAAUAACUAUGUCUGACAGAAGGAAGGAAAAUUAAAUAAUGCUAUUUUUGCAUAGGUAUCAGGGACUAGAGUUUGUUGUUGCUGUUGUUUUUAAAGCACCAAGAUGUUAAUAUGUUGAUGUUGAUGCAGAGUGGGUUCCCAGUGCUUGUGACACUGCUGCUUUCAUUGACAUCUAGAAAGGAGACUGAUAAACUUGGACUGCAGUUACAGUUUUCCCGUUGGUAUCAAAUAGCUGAGAAGAUGUUCCCAUAAUACGGGGAUAGAGCAGGAUAAACACUCAGUGAGGCCUACCCAUUCACUGACAAGCACAGUGGUCUCUGUGAGACUGUACUUUCUAGAGUGCAGGCAACCUCGUUCUCAGUUCUGCAUAAUGCAUUCCAGCCAGCUUUGAAAGGAAGGCGAAUUUUGUGAUUUUUAACCCAUAGUGAUUGCACUAGGUAAAUAAUAGGCUUUGUUAGGUUAUGCUUAUAGUCCUUAAGCAUUUCCAAAAAGUUUUUGAUCUUCUUUUCUACAUUUCUGUCAUUUAUGAUGCAAUAUUUUACAUUUUUAAUUAAAGUCUGUGUGAACUUAUGAUGGCAGAUGUGUGGAAGACAGUUGUAUACAUCCGCGGCUCACCUUGUUCCUUUCAGUUCAGGUUCAGUGGUGCACACUUCUGGUCCUGCUUUGACAUUUGUGUGUCAGAUGCUGUCUGUCCUCUUCUUCUGCAGCAGUGCUCUGCCUGCAUUGUUCUACUGACCCCUGGGAGUAAAUGGCAGUUUAAGUUGUGUUUUAUACUGUUUAGCUCUUGCAAAGCAAGUUUUAAAGUUUAGGGGAAAGUAGGCGUUGUGUGAACUGUUAAGGCCCCGUGCUCUGGCAGAGCUCCACUCUUGCUGAAGUUCUCUGUUCUGUAUCUGGUAGGGCACCGGGUCGAGUGCUUCAGAAUCCUCAUUUCUAAUAUAUUCUACUAUUAGAAUAUACUCUGGAUUAGAAAUACAUUAGAAAUGUAUUCUUACUGAGUUAGAAAACGCAUACUUUGUGUUAAAAAAUACCAUUGCUUUUACAUUCUUGGUUUCUCAUUUUUUUUCUUAGAAAUCCACAUUCGUUUUGCACGUAUAUAAACUUAACACAGUUUGGGAGUUGCAGGUUCCUCUUGAUCAUGACUCAGUAUCAACUUGACCUUUGGCACCAUGGGCCCUUUAACUUGGUAGUCACGUUGACCCAUGUUUCAGGUUGUAGAAAUGCCCAGUAGUACUUACUCAUUAUUUUAACAUUCCAGAGGCUUUGCAGUUGUUUGUUGCUGUUUUGGUGAUGACCACUACAUCUUCGCCAUUCUCUUCCUUCAAAUGGCCAUGGUGUGUUUGCUGACCGUCCCUGCCCACGCCCCACCCCCAGACAUGUGGCCUCAAGCGUGGUGGCUGCCCUGAGUUUGAGACAUGGUAGUAUAAGUUGCAGUGCUGUCUGCUGAAACAACACUCUAAAACCAGGUUGUGGUCUGUAAUAUAUCCUAAUAAAUUUUUUUGCUAAAAAGUAGUGUCUUUAAAAUUUUAUUAAGUUUUCUGGGAAAUGGUGACUUUUAUAUCAGUUUACACCAUUUCCAGUGUGUUUAAGUAUUUCUUGGAUUUUUACCAAAGUAAUGAGCAUCAUGACAACAUUAAUAUCUAGGCAAUAAAAAAGGUCAGAGUUAGCUAUAAACAUAUAUUUUAAUAGUAGUUUUCCUAAUUAUAUAAUCACUGUAGCGAAUUUAAAACAUUGAGUAAUUUCUAAAGAUGGAAGAGACUGGGAAGCAAAAUAAAAAAAUUAUCUGUAAUUCUACCAAAGUUAACUUCUUCCAAGCUUGGCUUCAAUGCACAUUAUAUGUUAUGACCUAUUCUCUUCAAUUAAUGUAUUGAGAAUAUUCCAUUUUAAUAAAAAUUAAUUUGACAGCAUGAC